AGUGAACGCUGGCGGUAGGCCUAACACAUGCAAGUCGAACGGCAGCACAGUAAGAGCUUGCUCUUACGGGUGGCGAGUGGCAGACGGGUGAGGAAUACAUCGGAAUCUACUUUUUCGUGGGGGAUAACGUAGGGAAACUUACGCUAAUACCGCAUACGACCUACGGGUGAAAGCAGGGGAUCUUCGGACCUUGCGCGAUUGAAUGAGCCGAUGUCGGAUUAGCUAGUUGGCGGGGUAAAGGCCCACCAAGGCGACGAUCCGUAGCUGGUCUGAGAGGAUGAUCAGCCACACUGGAACUGAGACACGGUCCAGACUCCUACGGGAGGCAGCAGUGGGGAAUAUUGGACAAUGGGCGCAAGCCUGAUCCAGCCAUACCGCGUGGGUGAAGAAGGCCUUCGGGUUGUAAAGCCCUUUUGUUGGGAAAGAAAAGCAGCAGGUUAAUACCCCGCUGUUCUGACGGUACCCAAAGAAUAAGCACCGGCUAACCUCGUG
rnacentral:rRNA from 1 species